UGGGGAAUUUUGGACAAUGGGCGCAAGCCUGAUCCAGCCAUGCCGCGUGCGGGAAGAAGGCCUUCGGGUUGUAAACCGCUUUUGUCAGGGAAGAAAUCUUCUGAGUUAAUACCUCGGGAGGAUGACGGUACCUGAAGAAUAAGCACCGGCUAACUACGUGCCAGCAGCCGCGGUAAAUACGUAGGGUGCAAGCGUUAAUCGGAAUACUGGGCGUAAAGCGUGCGCAGGCGGUUUUGUAAGACAGAGGUGAAAUCCCCGGCGUCAACCUGGGAACUGCCUUUGUGACUGCAAGGCUUGAGUGCGGCAGAGGGGGAUGGAAUUCCGCGUGUAGCAGUGAAAUGCGUAGAUAUGCGGAGGAACACCGAUGGCGAAGG
rnacentral:rRNA from 1 species